rnacentral:rRNA from 1 species
UACGUAGGGGGCAAGCGUUGUCCGGAAUCAUUGGGCGUAAAGCGCGUGUAGGCGGCUCGAUAAGUCUGCUGUGAAAGUCCAGGGCUCAACCCUGGGAUGCCGGUGGAUACUGUCGAGCUCGAGUCCGGAAGAGGUGUGUGGAAUUCCUGGUGUAGCGGUGAAAUGCGCAGAUAUCAGGAGGAACACCAAUGGCGAAGGCAGCUCGCUGGGACGGUACUGACGCUGAGACGCGAAAGCGUGGGGAGCAAACAGG